AAAGCCACCCGCGCAGGCGCCCCGGGAUCGCCGCUCGCCGCGCGCAACCGCAGUGACAGCCGGCGGCCUGGCUCCCGCGCAGCCGCGGUGAUGGGGUACCCCCCGGCGCGCAGCCGCGCUGGCAUUCGCCCGGAGCCCAGAAGCCCCGCCUCUCCGCCGUGCGCCGGCGUACUGCGAUUGGAGGGCGGAACCUGAGGCCUCGCUUAGGCGCCUGGGAAAGCGCGUAGGGGUCACGGCGCAGCCGCAGGAACUGGAAGACGCAUCACCCAUUGGUGUUUGUGUGCGGACCACGGGCUCUGGUCCCGCGCAGGCGUGUUGGGUCGCCACCCUCCCGUCCCCUCACACAGCCGCCUCACGCGCAGGCGCGUUGUACCUGGAGGCCUGCACAAAAAAAAAAAAAAAAAAAAAAAGCUUCUCCUUUCGCCAUUUUGGUAAUGAGAUUUGGGGCUACCAUGCCCUUGGAGUCCUCAGUCACGACCAAGGAGGAGCGUGGGAUGCUGUAUGGAGCUGGUAGCUUUCGGCUGCAGCAGUACCCAUAUGGAUGGUGUAGUGGACUGUUUGUCUCCAGUGUCAGGUGUGUCUGGACUAGGCCGCCAUAUUGGU
rnacentral:lncRNA from 1 species